rnacentral:rRNA from 1 species
UCGAUUUGGAGUUUGUUGCCUAGAGUGAUGNGCUCCGAAGCUAACGCGAUAAAUCGNCCGCCUGGGGAGUACGGCCGCAAGGUUAAAACUCAAAUGAAUUGACGGGGGCCCGCACAAGCGGUGGAGCAUGUGGUUUAAUUCGAUGCAACGCGAAGAACCUUACCUGGUCUUGACAUCCACAGAAUCUUUCAGAGAUGAGGGAGUGCCUUCGGGAACUGUGAGACAGGUGCUGCAUGGCUGUCGUCAGCUCGUGUUGUGAAAUGUUGGGUUAAGUCCCGCAACGAGCGCAACCCUUGUCAUUAGUUGCCAUCAUUAAGUUGGGCACUCUAAUGAGACUGCCGGUGACAAACCGGAGGAAGGUGGGGAUGACGUCAAGUCCUCAUGGCCCUUAUGACCAGGGCUUCACACGUCAUACAAUGGUCGGUACAGAGGGUAGCGAAGCCGCGAGGUGAAGCCAAUCUCAGAAAGCCGAUCGUAGUCCGGAUUGCACUCUGCAACUCGAGUGCAUGAAGUCGGAAUCGCUAGUAAUCGCAGGUCAGCAUACUGCGGUGAAUACGUUCCCGGGUCU